rnacentral:rRNA from 1 species
AUACGGAGGAUCCGAGCGUUAUCCGGAUUAUUGGGUUUAAAGGGAGCGUAGGUGGAUUGUUAAGUCAGUUGUGAAAGUUUGCGGCUCAACCGUAAAAUUGCAGUUGAAACUGGCAGUCUUGAGUACAGUAGAGGUGGGCGGAAUUCGUGGUGUAGCGGGGAAAUGCUUAGAUAUCACGAAGAACUCCGAUUGCGAAGGCAGCUCACUAGACUGUUACUGACACUGAUGCUCGAAAGUGUGGGUAUCAAACAGGAUUAGAUACCCUGGUAGUCCACACAGUAAACGAUGAAUACUCGCUGUUUGCGAUAUACAGUAAGCGGCCAAGCGAAAGCAUUAAGUAUUCCACCUGGGGAGUACGCCGGCAACGGUGAAACUCAAAUGAAUUGACGGGG